AACGCACGAGACCUGCGGACCUGCGGAGGGAUCAUUACAGAUUCAUCAGGAGGAAAGGGAUGUUGCUGGUACCCUUCUGGGUGCAUGGUGCACUCCUGGACCUUCGUCUUUCAAAUUUCUCCCUGUGCACUCUUUGUAGAUGGGAGUGAAACCUCUCAUCUAUGUUAUUGUCAUAACACCCUUGAUUAAAGAAGGAAUUAUAAUAUUAAUGAUCUUUGACAACUUUUAGCAACGGAUCUC
rnacentral:misc_RNA from 1 species